UGUCUUUCACAUGGGCUGUAAUUUAGUUCAAUUCAGAACUGCAGAUAGUACAGCUUUCACAGGAGCAAGGAUGCCUGAGCACAAGUGGCUGAGUUCCGAGUGACUUUAUGAAGCACUUUCCUACCUCCCUCCGUCAUGAAAACGGGGAUUCUGCACCUGCAUCAGGGACAGUCUGGCAAAAGCCUCUGCUAUGCCUCCGGGGACAAGGAACUAGCACAAAUAACCAUUUUGAAAUUGGAUCUUGGCAAAAUUAGCAACAAAUCCAUAAAGGAAACUGAAAGCAAUUGGAUCUCCAUCUUCAGUGGAGUCCCACAAAAGUUGGAGAAAUACAUUGUCUCCAAAGAGGAUACAGCUGUACCCUAAAAUUAGGACAUAAUUAAGGUAUGAAAUUUCUUUUAGUUCAUUUCUUUAGUUUGGUUGCAAUGCUUUGUUCUUUCCAUUACAGAUAAUUUUUUCUUUUUUUUUCCCCCAGUCUCUCUCUCUCUCUUCCUUUUCUUCCUCUCAUUAGCAAAUGUCUUUUAUAAUUGAUCUUGUUUACUGUCCUUUCAUCAAAUAUAUGCCACAUCACUCAGGCGAGCCAUCUGACAGGGCACCUAAAUACACAUUAGAAAGUACUGGGAGCCAUGCGUCACUUUGACUGUCUCAUCAGGGCAGUUAUAAUAAGCAUCUUGAUGCCACUGAAGGCAAUGCUGUAUUCAGAUAAUAGCCUUCAUUUUUACCCUUUUUAAAUAUAAAAGUAAACCUUGAAGCAUUUGAAGGACCUAACUAAACAACACACAUGUGGAAACAGACCAGGGAGCCUUUGAAAAAAAAAAUCUCUAUGUAAAAUCUGUAAAGAAUCUUAGCAGUUUUUCAAAAAGACCUCCAGAUACAUGAUGCCUGUGAAUAAGACACAUGACCACCUUAAUUAUGAGAAUCAUUAUUGUAGGCCCUCUGGGCCAUUUUUGCUCCCAGCAGGAUUUUUCUUUCCUCAUCCAGAGUUUCCGGGGAUGUCUACUAUUCUCUGUGUGUAAAGCACAUUUAAGUGGUCCCACAAAG